rnacentral:misc_RNA from 1 species
GAAAUGCGAUAAGUAAUGUGAAUUGCAGAAUUCAGUGAAUCAUCGAAUCUUUGAACGCACAUUGCGCCCGCCAGUAUUCUGGCGGGCAUGCCUGUUCGAGCGUCAUUACAACCCUCAGGCCCCCGGGCCUGGCGUUGGGGAUCGGCGGAAGCCCCCUGCGGGCACAACGCCGUCCCCCAAAUACAGUGGCGGUCCCGCCGCAGCUUCCAUUGCGUAGUAGCUAACACCUCGCAACUGGAGAGCGGCGCGGCCACGCCGCAAAACACCCAACUUCUGAAUGUUGACCUCGAAUCAGGUAGGAAUACCCGCUGAACUUAAGC